rnacentral:lncRNA from 1 species
AUGUUUAUUGUCAAUCUAAUGUCACUCACCCACUCACUUUGCAAUGCGCUCAUCAUGCUUAAUCACUCACUUUCCUUUCACUUUAAUUUCCUUCCCUUUACUCCUUUUCCUUCACCUACUUUCACUCUACACUGUGUACAUCCUUCUUUUCUCUCUUAUCUCCCCUCCUCAAUUCCUUUGCUUCCAACCUCAUCAGCUUUGCCUCCUCCUUCUCUCUUGUCUCUUUUUCUUUCUUUUUUGCCUUUUCCUUCUUUUUCAGUUCUCUUUGAUCCUCCACGACCUCCUGUUUCCAUUCUUUUUUUUAGUUGUUUAAAUUUCCUAAUGUCCUCCUGUUUACUCUCCUUAAGUUGUUUCUCUCGAUCCUUGAGUUCUUUUGCCUUUUCUUUAUUUUUCCUCCUUCAUUCCUUUUCUCUCAACUUCCUCAACCUUACCUCUUCUUUCUCUCAAAUUUUUUGUGUCUUCAUCUCCACCACCUCUGCCGCCUCCUCCUCCGCCGCUGACUCCUCCUCUGCAGCCUCCUCCUCCACCUCCUCCUCCUCUUCCUCCGCCGCCUCCUCAUUUGUCACCUCCUCCUGGCAUGGUGGUGUAGUGGGUAGCACCGUCUCCUCACAGCAAGGUACCGUCUCCUCUCGAUUCCCGGAGGCGGCCCUGGUGCCUUUCUUCCCAUGUUUGCGUGGGUUCUCGCUGGGUUCCCACAGUCCAAAGACGUGCAUUAGGUUGAUUGGCCUCUCUCCAUUGCCCAUAGGUGUGAGUGUGUGUGUGAAUGGUUGUAUGUCUCUGUAUUGCCCUGCAAUGGACUGGCGACCCAGCCACGGUGUGCUCUGCCUCUUGCCCAUAGACAGCUGGGUUAGGUUCCAGCACCCCCGCGACCCCGCAUAUAGGAAUAAGCGGCGUGGAAAAUGGAUGGAUAAUUAGGAUGAAAACUAUCGAAGCCUCACAUUUGAGCCAUGUUUGUUAACAGAAACACAUUUUAUACAUGAAGAAAGGCUAAACGCUGACCUUUUACAGACGGCAGCCGUACUAAGUAAGAUUUCCAGGAAACCAGCCUCAAUAGUUUUAUUUAUAAAAACAUGAUGCUAUACUCAAAGAUGUAUUGUGUAGAUAUAUUUAUAAAUAUUUCCAGGUAUGUCAUACAAUCAACUUGAUUAAGGUCAGAUGACUGUGAACAAUGUUGGUAAACAGACAUAUCUAAUGUUAUUAGAGAAUUUAACAUCAGAUAGAAGUCAUGUAAAAACUGCAUUUGCUGCUACUGCUGCUGUGAUAAUGUUGGUUAAUGAAAUGUUAUGUGAACAACUAAAGGCUUUCAGUUCACCAGCAUUAAUCACUACCACAGCUGUUGCUUUUUCUUCACUGGCGUAAGAGCUUCUUUACCAUAGUAAAUUCAAUUCAAUUCAAUUCAAUUUUAUUUAUAUAGCGCCAAAUCACAACAAGUUAUUUCAAGGCACUUUACAAAGUAAGGUUUAAAACCUCACACAACUAAACCCAACAAAUCCCACAUACAGCAAGCAUUUAAUUUGACAGCAACAGUGGAGAGGAAAAACUCCCUCUCUAACGAGGAAGAAACCUCCAGCAGAACCAGACUGGAUGUGGGCGGCCAUCUGCCUCGACCGGUUGGGGUGAGAGGAUAGAGAGAUAGAAAAGCACAGCAACAGCAACAAGCAACAACAAGCAACAACAGAGCACAGGCAGGAUGGUAGGACCAGGGACUGGAUGCAGGCAGGAUGGUUGGAUCCGCAGCUGCCCAUCACAGACACCAAACUUUGAGUCCAAUGAUACCUGUGGGUGAGGACAGAGAGGGAGAAAGAGUGGGGGUGGGGGGGAGAGAGGAGAGAAGCACAACUACUGGACAGAAAGAGACAAGGUUAGUUAAACAUGGGACAAUGAUGGGAGGUUAUGGGACAGAGGAGGUAGAAGGAAACAGAGGAGCUCAGUGUAUAAAUUAAGUCCCCCAGCAAAAUGAAACAUCAAAUAAUCAGCAGUCAGUAGUGACACCUUCAAUUAAUAAACUCAAUCACACCAUGCA